UACGUAGGGGGCAAGCGUUGUCCGGAAUCAUUGGGCGUAAAGCGCGUGUAGGCGGCUCGAUAAGUCUGCUGUGAAAGUCCAGGGCUCAACCCUGGGAUGCCGGUGGAUACUGUCGAGCUCGAGUCCGGAAGAGGCGAGUGGAAUUCUCGGUGUAGCGGUGAAAUGCGUAGAUAUCGAGAGGAACACCUGAGGUGAAGACGGGUUGCUGGGCCGACACUGACGCUGAGUGCGCGAAAGCCAGGGGAGCAAACGGG
rnacentral:rRNA from 1 species